GACGAACGCUGGCGGCGUGCCUAAUACAUGCAAGUUGAGCGCUGAAGGUUGGUACUUGUACGGACUGGAUGAGCAGCGAACGGGUGAGUAACGCGUGGGGAAUCUGCCUUUGAGCGGGGGACAACAUUUGGAAACGAAUGCUAAUACCGCAUAAAAACUUUAAACACAAGCUUUAAGUUUGAAAGAUGCAAUUGCAUCACUCAAAGAUGAUCCCGCGUUGUAUUAGCUAGUUGGGGAGGUAAAGGCUCACCAAGGCGAUGAUACAUAGCCGACCUGAGAGGGUGAUCGGCCAAAUUGGGACUAGGGGACGGCCCAAACUCCUAGGGGAGGGAGCAGGAGGGAAUCUUCAGCAAUGGACGAAAGUCGGACCGAGCAACGCCGCGUGAGAGAAGAAGGUUGUCGGAUCGUAAAACUCUGGUGGUAGAGAAGAACGUUGGUGAGAGUGGAAAGCUCAUCAAGUGACGGUAACCACCCAGAAAGGGACGGCUAACUACGUG
rnacentral:rRNA from 1 species